GAAAGGCAUCGUCUCUGACACCACAAAAGGUGCAUGAAGGAACCACAAGGAGAGAGCUGGAGGAUCCAAGAGAAAUGGAUACAUUCCUCUGGAACAGAUUAAUCAAUGAACCAGGUAUCAGUGCAUAUAAAAGUUGGGAGCAGAAGCCUCACUGGAACAAGAUAGAAUCAUAAAAGGAAUCUCAUCACAAGCUAAACAGUACAAAUUGCACAUUCCUCAUGGAAGUAUUAGCUUUUUGUGCGUGCCUGGAUCCAAGCAUAAUAGAUUAUCCCAAAGUGGGAAAGAAUGAACAGUACAAAAUUAGCAGAACUGGGGGCUCAGAUCAGUUGGUGGAGCAACAUGAUCUCUGUACUUUCAGGGUACUGAAUUCUAAAGCCACUGGAAACAGAAUGUGAAAUUAUAUCAGAGUAAGCAAGGAAGUGUGUGCAGAUCUGGGAGAAUCAAAGAAGAGAUUGGAAAACACAUUUCCAGAGGAGAAUAAGUACUGAAAAUCAGUGAAUGAACUUGUAGGAAACAAACUGC